CACACCUACACAUUCUGAGUCAGUUAAUGGGACAGGAAAAAGUAAAAGGAAGCUUAUGAUAGAAGUAGAAUGUAACAAGCGUGGAGGGACUUACACAACACAAGGCCGAUGCAUCAUGGUUGGACCUUCAGGUUCUUCUCAGAGCAGCUAUUCAGGCAGUCAGG